CUACCCCGGUGAUUAGUACAGUGCUUGGCAUCUAGUAAGUGCCUAACGGGUACCAUUUAAAAAAAAAUAGAGUUUUCAUUCUCUGCCACCGGAGCUAAUUCUUCGCCAUCGUGUCACCUCGAAGACUGAGGAGACAGUACCGGGUUUAUCUUCGUUAAGAGAAUAAAUAUCCCUGAUUUCAAGAGAUGAGGCAACUGAGACGCGGAGAAGUGAAGCGACUUGCCAAAGAUCAAGGAGUUUGAUGCUUGCGGAUUCCCGACGUAACCCUGCCAUCUGCCCCAGGGGCUUCGGCGCAGCUGGGUUCUAACAUGUUGAGACCGUCCCAUUCGGGGCUCAGAGCGGGUCUAUUUGGAAUCAAUCAACCAACCAAUCAAUGGAAUUUAUUGAGCGCUAACUAAGAGAAGAGCUCUGUAACACAUGAGGUAAAUGAGGCACAGAGAAGCGAAGUGACGUGCCC